AACGCUCCCGUGACCUACCCUGUAGUUCCGGGCUUUUGUUUAAAUGGCGUUCGGCACAUUGUCGGACUGCUGGCUCGAUUAUCAGAAGCUCGUCUCUACAGGUAUCUCACAGGGUAGAA